rnacentral:misc_RNA from 1 species
GUUAGUGUGGCACGCAACAGCAUCGCACAUCGAAGCGCGAGCAGCAGUUCUACUGUACACUGCCCACACCCACGCAUACACGCGGUCUCUCUCUUCCUCUGCCCAUCCCACACGAGGGCGAAUGGCGCGCCGUCACCGCCCCCUCUUCCAUACUCUUCUCGCGUCGGUGGUAGUGCUGCUUGUGGUGCACGGCGGUGCUCCGGCGGCGGGGCUAUCCGGAUCGGCGCCGUGCCCCGCCACGGCGGAGGCUGCACCGGAGUGGUGCAACAAGCUCUUUGGCGGGGCUGGCGGAAUCGUCACAGCUGGUGCAUGGAGCGAAAGCUUCUUCGCGUGUGUGUGCAACGGCGCUGCGCCGCUGAUAAUCAGCCGUCACCAAGAUUUGCCUGAAGAAAGCGAGCAGCAGUCGUCGCCAGCGCUCCUUGAAUGGGACUCCUCGCGAGCGUUGUCGACCCAGUUGUCGUCGUCAAUGGCGGUAUUCUCGUCCUCGUCGUCCUCAGCGCCGGCGAAGUACACGUGCCGGUGGAUUGGCUUCUUCUCACCGUACCCGGAUGGUGAACAAUGCCUGCCCAGCACUGGCGUGUGCCCCACAAACUGCACUGUCAUGCCACCGUUCCUCUGCGACAGCCAGCAGGCAGGCAGCUGCACCGUCAGCGAAAGCGGCACACUCCUGUACACCUGCCUGACUUGCACUGGACGGCUAUUCACCAUUAACACGACAGGCCCAGACACGUGCCACCGCACGUACACGGAGGCGCUGUGUGACCCGCGGACUGAGUGCAGCGGCCAUGGAUGCUGCGCCAUGCAAAACAUCGAUCCCUCGAGCAGCUCCGCGACCGGCGGCGUGUGCAAUUGUUUUGCGAACCGCACACAUGGCUACUACGCCGGUGAAAACUGCGCUGCAUGCGCGUCCGGCUAUUAUGUGGACUCCGAGGGGGUCUGCAAGACGCGCGUGCAGCCAGUGCAGAUUUUGCUGGCGUCGAUUGGCAAGACGUGGACGAUGGUGUCCCCCAACGUCUCAGUGCUCUUCCUCUUUGUCAUUUUCAGUAUGGUGCGCAAGCUGAAUGCGUCUGACCGGCCGUUCGAACUGACUGGCUUGCGGCGGGCAAACCUGUCCUCGGUGCAGGUGGCGCGGCGGCGGCAGCAGAGCCUCUUCCACUCCAAGUACAUCCCGAUGCGGCCGGCGAAGAGUCGCUCCUUUACGAAUCCGCACCAGCCCCGCACGAGAGGACCGUCCGCGUAUUGAUAUCACCCCUUUCAUGGCCAUCCUGCUUUCCCGUGUGUGUGUGUGCCCCCCCUCCUUCCCGUUG